UGAUGUAAUCUUGGUGGCUUCCCUGAUCAGACCUAGGCUGCCUGCCCCACUGAUGCCUUCUCAGCUAAUUGCUCUGCUCCGCACCUGUUCCUUCUCAGGAGGCCCUGGAACCCUAGCACCUGAUGCCUAUGCCACCUCCUCUCUUUGCCAGGAUGCCCCGCAUGCCCUUGCGGACAGCAAAGCUUGCCACAGCCUAGGGCCGAGGGGGGUGUUUCCUUUUCACUUUUGCUGAGGGCCAGUUGCUGUUAUUUGAGGGUGUUGCAAACCCAGGAUUCAGAGGGCCGGGCCUGUCAGUGGCCUGUCUCAUCUGAUAGGGUAGAGCCUUCGCCCUUGCAGUGAGUUCUCAAGAGAGAUGUGCUGUGUGUGGAAUCCCGAGGUCUUCGAGGGAGGUCAUCUAUGCUGUGCCAGGCAGCAAGCAUAUGACGGCCCAUAUCCUAAUCCAGACCCUCAUCUUGUGGCUUAGAAAGUAGAGAGGACUCAUGAACCACAGCUUUAAGCCAGCUCCAACUGACCCUCCGAUUCCAAGAAGCCAUCUUUAACCCUGUUCAUGCACAGCUCUCCUUCCUUCCCAGACUCCUCCCUUCAAGUCUCUCCCCUGCACCACCAGCCUGCAGAAUGGCACUUCAACCAUCAUCAGAGGUUUCCCUCUGAAAGAUGCCAUAAUUCUGUAAGAAGUAAAAGCCUGUGCAGUGGGGAAGACCACAGACUGGCAGGGCAGAAGUAGUGCUGUCCAGGAUGUCUUGGCAGAGACCACCCAGCCUAAAGCACCAUCCGGGCAUUCAAAUCCCCAAAGGUUGCUGGAGAAAUAUGGGUGUGUCUUAUCCCAAGCACACAACAAAGAAAACCCAUUUUGCAAAGCAAAUUUUGCUUGUGGCCUCGAUACAAACACUUUGGAGGUGCCUCCAAAGCUUAAAGUCAUU